CUCGUGCGUUGCACACUCGUGCACGGCCUUGCACACUCAUGCAUCCCUUCUCCUGCACCCCCCUUUUGCCCCCCCCCCCCCCGACAUGCCCCCCAUAAAAGAGAGACGGGGGGGGGGGGGGGGCACGCUUGCAAACAGCACGUGCAGGUGUGCAAACGCGCGUGCAAGGGGAUGCACAAGUGGGUGCAGGGGUUGCACGAGGGUAGCCGGGUGAGGGUGCUGGUGCAAGGGCUGCACACGUGGGUGCAAGGCGGUGCAGGUGCAUGCACAGGGUGCACACGGGUGCAUGCAGGGGGCUGCACACGUGGGUGCAAAGGGGGGGCUGGUGCAUGCACAGAGGUGCAGGUGCAUGCACAGGGUGCACACACGGGGUUGCACACACACAUGCAAAGGGGUGUGAGCACAUGCAAGGUGUGCACACAAGUGCAGGGGGUGCGGGUGCAUGCACAGGGUGCACACGGGUACGUGUAUGGGGUUGCACACAUGGGUGCAAAGGGGUGCGAGUGUGUGCACACAGGGGCAGGGGGUGCAGGUGCAUGUACAUGGGUGUACACGAGGGGUUGCACACACACAUGCAAAGGGGUGUGAGUGCAUGCAAAGUGUGCACACGGAUGCAGGUGCAUGCACAUGGGUUGCACACACAAGUGCAAUGGUGUGCAAGUGCAUGCACGGUGCGCACACGGGUGCAGGAGGCACAGGGCCAUAGAUGCACACGUGCAAGGGGUGCAAACGUGUGCAAGCGGUGCAGGUGCACGCAUCGGGGUGCACGUGGGUGCAGGUGCAUGUGAGGAAGCACACCCAUGCAGGUGCACACGCGUGCAGGUGGGUGCAGGUGCACGCAGCAGGGUGCACACACACACAGGGGGGUGCACGUGGGUGCAGGGGGGGCGCACACGGACGCGGGUGCAUGCAGGGGGUGCAGGCGUGCAAGGAGUGCGGGUGCAUACAGGGGGUGCAGGUGCAUACAAGGGG
rnacentral:lncRNA from 1 species